rnacentral:lncRNA from 1 species
AUGGGUUUUUUACCACAUGAAGAAAACACCGCUUCCCAUUCUCUGGCGGUAGAAAGAGAUAGACAGAUAGUGCAAGACGGAGGGAGAGAUUGAGCGCGCGAGGGAGGUAGAGAGAGGCGCGGCGGUCAUGGAGGAACUGGCUAUGGUCUCCGGCCGACGGUAAUGUUGUCGAUCGUCGCUGAAUGGGAACUUGACGGCCGGGGGUUCUAGGGUUCCGGCGGCGGUGCCGGAACCGACCUACAUCUGCCGCUCACUACCAUCGGUAGGUUACACACAUGUCAGCGCCCACCUAUAGCCUUAAUACCACCGAUAACCGCCGCCCUGCCCCAAAUCCAGGUCCGGCGACAAAGAAAGCAUUACUUCCCUAAACCGCAAGAGGCAACGACUUCGUCCCCCACAUUGGUUAACCACCAUCGUCACCACAAUCACCGUCACUCACCUCUUGCAAAACCCUAUCCUUGCUCAACACCAUCUAUUGGCCCUAAUUGAACACUACUGCGUCGAAUCGUCGUAACCGAAUAUAACAUCAGGUAUGGUAUUCAGCUAUGGUGGAAAAUAUGGGGAAAGUAUGCCAGGAUCGAUUUUUUACAAGAUAAGGAAUGUUUUUUUUUUUAGUUAUUUUAUAUUAGUGAAAUAUUGAUUUAAAGUUAGUCAAAUGUAGAUAUUUAGAGUUUUCUCGAUGAAUUUUGUCAAC